rnacentral:rRNA from 1 species
UACGAAGGGGGCUAGCGUUGCUCGGAAUUACUGGGCGUAAAGGGCGCGUAGGCGGAUACUUAAGUCGGGGGUGAAAGCCCAGGGCUCAACCCUGGAAUAGCCUUCGAUACUGGGUAUCUUGAGUUCGGGAGAGGUGAGUGGAACUCCGAGUGUAGAGGUGAAAUUCGUAGAUAUUCGGAAGAACACCAGUGGCGAAGGCGGCCAACUGGACAGAUACUGACGCUGAGGCACGAAAGCGUGGGGAUCAAACAGG